GAUGAACGCUAGCUACAGGCUUAACACAUGCAAGUCGAGGGGCAGCAUUUUAGUUUGCUUGCAAACUAAAGAUGGCGACCGGCGCACGGGUGAGUAACACGUAUCCAACCUGCCGAUAACUCGGGGAUAGCCUUUCGAAAGAAAGAUUAAUAUCCGAUAGCAUAUAUUUCCCGCAUGGGUUUUAUAUUAAAGAAAUUCGGUAUGAGAUGGGGAUGCGUUCCAUUAGUUUGUUGGCGGGGUAACGGCCCACCAAGACUACGAU
rnacentral:rRNA from 1 species